UUUUCGGAUGGAAUCAAUGAAUCUUAGUGGCGGACGGGUGAGUAACGUGUGGGCAACCUGCCCUUUACAGGGGAAUAAUCAUUGGAAACGAUGACUAAUACCGCAUGUCAACACGAGGAGGCAUCUUCUUGUGAGAAAAGGAGCAAUCCGCUGAAAGAUGGGCUCGCGUCCGAUUAGAUAGUUGGUGAGGUAACGGCUCACCAAGUCGACGAUCGGUAGCCGACCUGAGAGGGUGAUCGGCCACAUUGGGACUGAGACACGGCCCAAACUCC
rnacentral:rRNA from 1 species